rnacentral:lncRNA from 1 species
AUUUUUUUUCUUUCUUCAUUCCUUAAUUUUCUUCUCCCUUCUCUCUCCUCCCCUUACUCUUAUCAUUCACCCCAUCAGUUGACGCUUUAGCCGGAUCUAUGCUUUCAUGAACGAUUUUCAAUUUUAUUUCCAUCUUGUUUUCAUUGAAGUCCUUGGUAGCCAAUUCCAAAGGGUAAAUAAUUUAUAAAUAAAAUUUUGAACAACAAAUCACCAUAUCAUUACUCUGCACGCCUUUUGCUCUAAUAAUUAUUAUAAUUACACCGAACUUGCUGUUUCCCAAGCUUAAGGAUUUGUGACUGUUGAAGAGGUAGAGAGACAAAUCUCCCGGUCUUCUGGUCGUGCUACUGAUGCCCUUGAAAUUUUACUGGACGUAAUUUACUUCUGCCAUUCUUCCUUCUUCUUGUUUCCAUAAAUUAUCUUAUAAUUUUUCAUCAUGUUUUUUUUUUUCAGAACUCUUUUGUGGCUUCAGGAUCGGGUUCGGGCGACGAUAACAAAUGUCUUCGGGUCUUGGUUUCGGAAUCAGGUUCUUACGGAUUGAUUCGGUUUCAGGAUGGCGGAUGACUUUAGAUCGAAUUUCAUGAUUGGCUGAGUUCGUAGAUGGGUAUUUCCAUCCGCCUGAGUUCCCAAAUUAGUUUGAUGCUUGAUAGGAGUAAGGGGAGGAGAGAGAAUGGAGAAAAAAAGAAAUGAAAAAAGAAUGUAAAAAAUAAAUAAAUUAAGUUUAUGCGGAUCUCAAAAUUUUUUAUACCCAGUGUCUGCAUAUUAAUACUGUGGACGGAGAAAUUGUAAAUGAGGGGUAUUUUAGUAAUCCGUUCCGUCCGCAGUAUUAAACUGCGAAAUAUUAAAAAUUAAACUGCAAACAAAAAUUUGAUUAGAUAUAGGUCAUGAUGUGUUGUAAGGCUAAUUUUUUUUUUAUAAUAUUAACUAUGAAUC